rnacentral:pre_miRNA from 1 species
GGCCCGAAUUUGGAGUAGGGUAGAUUAGUAUUAUUGGCUAACCCCACUGAACUACUCUACUUCAAGUUUGUGCCU